UUUUUUCUUUUUUUUUUUAAAUAAACAGAGGGGAAAAGGGGGAAAAAUUAUCUGACCUUAGCACCUCCACGCCGCCGCCGUCAGCCCACCGUGAAGCCACCACGACCGGCGCUCUGCACCAGAACAACGUGCGUGGUGCGGGGCGACGUUCUGCGACGUUCGCGGAGUUGCUGUGCGUGGGGUGAGGGGCAGUUGCUGCGACACAGGCGGCUGCUAAAGGGUUUCAGAAACCCUAAGUUUCUGGGAUGUUCUUCCAAAUCGGGCUAGGGUUUGGGCCUAGUGUAUUGGGCCAAGGGUAUUUGGGUAAUGUAAUUUUUGGAUUUUGGACUGUUUUAUUGUUUUGUUUUUUUAUAUCUAUUUGUUUGGGCCCGGGCCUAAAAUUGUGUAUUUACAUUAAGGAUUAAAAUUAUUAUUAUGUUAAUUUUAAAAUUAAUUAAUAAUUUAAUCACCAAUGAUAAAAAAGAAAUAGUUAAAUUACCAUUUUAUAAUUUUAUAAUUUUAUUGACUGAAUAAUUGGGUCACUAAUCCUACAGUUUACCUAUUUUUUAAUCAGUUCAGCCGCACUAACUAUCUUUUAGUUAAAACCCUACCGAUAAAUUGCAUCAUUUUCAGCUUUACUAUUCAGCGGUGGCUGCCCCUUUUCUUCUCUACCCGUGAGAGCUACUGAAAUUUGCAGACUUUCUUUUCUUCAUUUCGUAGUCGUUUCGAGUUUCCUUAGUUUAUAAUUUUCUUUCAGUUGUUUGAAGAAAACAUUUCGGUGUUGUUGAUUUGCUUGCUCUUUUUGUUUUUUAUUUGAUUUUUUUAACGACUCAUCAUCUGAUCUGAGUUAAAAUUUUCAGAUCUGUACAGUUUUUUUUGAAUAGUCUCCAAGCAACGAUGGACCUUCAACAGCUUGCGAGGGAGACAUCUUAAGCACAAUAUGACUAAACGAACCUCCAUUGUUGGCAGGAAGCAAGAAAAGAAGUCGGGAGAGAAUUUUCGAUCGGUUCCCUUUAGCUUCUCAAAACUUAUCCGAAAUCCUUUCCCGGCUUCUUUUCUUGCUUUCGUUUAAUUGUUCGUUUGCGUUGUGCUUCAGAUGUCGCACUUCCAGGCUGUUUGAAGUUGUUUGUAGGCUAACCUAAUCUCCAUGGAAGAAAUCCAGUAGCCGAAGUUGAGGUGAAGUGGAGAUUGUUCUAAAUAACACUAUAAGUUCGAACAAUUCGAUCAGCAACGAUCAGAUCUACGCCAAUAUUUACAAAUCUAAUUAUCAAGUUUGAUUUCAUUAUCUAAAUCUUAAUUUAACUUUUUAACUUGUGGACUUUGUUGCAUCCUUCAGUAAUAAUAUGGUAUCCACAUUUUUUGUCAUUGAAAUUAACCAUUACAUAGAAUAUUUCUUAUGUAUAGAUCGCAUUAUAAUUAUGUUGUCCUUUUUCAUACACAGAUUUGAUUUUAGACCUAAUACAAAGACUUUGAUUUGAUUUGGUUGUGAGUUUUGAACAAUGGUUCACUUUUCAAAUUUUGUUAGAUGAAUCUUCGAUCUUAUACUUGUAUCCGAAUGUGUCAUUUAUAAAUAUAAUGUCUUUCCUCAUUCACUAGACUUGCAAAAAAGUCAUUUUCAACUUUGAUUCGGAUGUUAAUGUCGAAUACAUGUUUGCAUCUAACAUGGGUAUAUUUAACUUCUUGUAAGGUUUUUUAUAUGUUGAAAAUGGACACUUCUAGCAAAAUGUAGAAUCCGAAACGGGCCAGAAAUCUAAUGUUUAGGACUUUCCCUGCUUCUCCAGUCUUGCAUGGAUUUUUGCAUUGAAAACUAUAAAUAUUGUUGAAUCUUUGUAAGCACUGUAUACUUACUUUUGCAUGGUUAUACCAUUGGAGCUACAAACUUGAAAAUGCAUAUAUUGACCUCUGUUUCCUUUUUGCUGUAUAUAUCAUAUGCUUCAAUGUCUCAAGUCAUUUUUAGAUCUUCACAUUGAUCGUUUAUUCAUAUUUCUUUUAAAUUUCUUAAAUUUCAGGUGGUAGCAACGAGAGAUUAGGAAAAGAGGUAUGGGUAUUAUUUCUCUGUUGCAAUAUAUGACAAUAACUUGGAACAUUCUUCUCUGUUUUUUUUUUGUCAACCGAAGUGGAUGUUUCAGAUUUCAAGUGCUUAAAAAAGCACUGAAAAACUAAUCGCUGUAAGAUUCGAGCGGGCUCGUGGAAAAGCUACUGAGGUUUCUCAUACCGGCAUCUGAAUUCUGGUCUGUGCAGCAAUGCAAGAGAUGGAAAAUGUGUCUCGGAAAAUUCGGGCCACGUUGAAGAAUUGGGGAGUGCAAUCAACAAGAUCUUUACAAGAUGAUCAACAGCAACAAUGGGGAUUUGUUACAUAUGCUAUGAUGGACCUCUAACAGCUUGAGAGCGUGACAAUUCCACGUGAGUGAAUCUCUAUUGUUACUCGAUGAUAACUGGGUGAACUCUAUGUCGGAUAAAGGCAAAAAUAAUGUGACCGUGAAGAUGUUUCAGAUAAGUUCCUUUGCUUCUUUUCUGGCUUCGGCUAACAUAAAGUUCACCUGGUUAUCAUCGGGUAACAAUGGUGGUUGUUUAACUUUAAACAAUAAACAAUCGGAUGAUUCGCGUGGUUCAAAUGUCACUCUCUCAUGCUGUUUAAGGUACUUUAUAGGUUGAUCUAAUCUCAAAGACAUUAAUCCAGAAUUUCAAGGGUGAGUUCAAGGACACUUCUUUAGCAGAAGCUGAGACAAAGCAGAGAUUGCUCGAAAAUACCCGAAAGUUCGGACAAUUCUAUCAACAAUAAUAGAAGAUAAUGUUUACAAAUCUAAUUAUUAGAUUUGAUUUUAUGACCUAAAUCCCAAUUUAACUUUCUAACCUAGUUUAUGCAAGUACUUUAUGCAAACCAGGGUUAUCAUUUCUUUUGCACGUACCUGUUUUUGGACUUAUGAAAGAAGUUGUUAAGCCAUUUUCAGCUA